rnacentral:rRNA from 1 species
UACGGAGGGGGCUAGCGUUGUUCGGAAUUACUGGGCGUAAAGCGCGCGCAGGCGGCUAUCCAAGUCAGUGGUGAAAGCCCGGAGCUCAACUCCGGAACUGCCAUUGAAACUGUUUAGCUUGGGGACGAGAGAGGUGAGUGGAAUUCCCAGUGUAGAGGUGAAAUUCGUAGAUAUUGGGAAGAACACCGGUGGCGAAGGCGGCUCACUGGCUCGUUUCUGACGCUCAGGCGCGAUAGCGUGGGGAUCAAACAGG